rnacentral:lncRNA from 1 species
AGAGAUCAACCGUUGCGAUGAAAAACGAUGCUAGGCGUCAUUUUCUUCAACUAAAAAGAACGCCGCAGAGGAACCGAGAGCUUUGAGCUGAAAAACUCAAAAGACUUAGCCGCAUCUCCCUGAAUUCUAAUUCUUCAUACCCCUACCAUCAUUGUUUCAACCAAGGAAUCAGCCACGCUCUGUCCAAUUUGACCUAAUCCAGCAGAAACUAACAAUCCUACUUGGUUCAACCGACAAAAAUGAAGAAUUAGAGGCGCGAACAAACUGCCCAUGCUCAAAUUUAUCCUCGUAAAGAUGGUAGCCGCUCUCUUUUGGAUAUUUCAAAACGAUAAUUCAAAUAUUAAAAUCAAUGAAAAUUUUGCCGUUUUUCUAUCUUUUGUUCCGUCAUAAUGGACGAUGAAGAAAUCUGAAACAGUUUUGAGGUUAUAGUUUUGUCAGAUUCUCCAAUUUUUGUGAGUUUCUGCGGUGGGGUUUUCGAUUCCGGUUCCCUUGUCGUGGCUCAAAGAUUUGGGAGGCAAUAUUUUUUAAAUUUCAUUUGUCAAAAUAUACUUGAUAAUCGAGGUUGCCGACGGGUUUCACGGUCCGAGCUUCCGCUACUGUUGCAUUUCCGGUCCGAUUCCUUUUCUUUUGCUCGUUCAAUUUCUGGCAGAAACGAGUUCAUUGAAGCAAUUUAUAAAUGUGGUUAUUUCUUUAACUAUUAAUUAGUGACACAAAGUUUUAAUGACUGAAUUUUGCCUCCCACUAUCUCCUAUGCUUU